rnacentral:tRNA from 1 species
GGGAAUGUAGCUCAGAGGUAGAGCACAUGUCCUGUAUGCAUGAGACCUUCAGUUCAAUCCCC